rnacentral:rRNA from 1 species
GUCCACGCCGUAAACUAUGGGUGCUAGCCGUUGGGAAGCUUGCUUUUCAGUGGCGCAGCUAACGCAUUAAGCACCCCGCCUGGGGAGUACGGUCGCAAGAUUAAAACUCAAAGGAAUUGACGGGGCCCGCACAAGCGGUGGAGCAUGUGGUUUAAUUCGAAGCAACGCGCAGAACCUUACCUACCCUUGACAUGUCCAGUAUGGGUUCCAGAGAUGGGAUUCUUCAGUUCGGCUGGCUGGAACACAGGUGCUGCAUGGCUGUCGU